GGAAUUGACUGAUAACUAUCUAAAGUUACCAAAUUGAUUGAAAACAUAUUUCUUAUCUAUAAAUAAAACAUUAUAUCUUUUAUAUUACUUACUUAAAUAAAUAAAUCCGUUUUUUAAGUACUUACCUGAAGAAUUGCAGAAAUUCCAAUUAAUUUUUACAUAGCCACACAACUGAUGUUUCUGCUAAUAUGAUGCAAAAGUCACAACAUCAGGUAUACUUUUAUACUUUUAACUAAAAAAGUAAGUAACUGUUAAUUUCAUUAAAUAACACUAAAAUAGGUAUAUAAUAAUAAUAUAAUAAAAAUUAGAAUUUAUAUUUUUUAUAACAUGUUUUUAUUUUGUAUUACAAUUUAAAUUUUACAAGUUCAUUGUUAUAUAAGCAUAUGUAAUUAGCAAAAUAAAUUGUACAAAAGUACAUUAAACAUACAUUAGGCAUUUGAAGUAUUUAAUUUCAACUUUGAUUAUGUAGACUGAAUGAAAAAUAGACUAUAAUAUACUUUGUAGAGUAACAGGUUCUCAUAUUUAAAAGAUAU